UACGGGGGGAGCAAGCGUUGUUCGGACUUACUGGGCGUAAAGGGCGCGUAGGCGGCGCAACAAGUCACUUGUGAAAUCUCCGGGCUUAACCCGGAGCGGUCAAGUGAUACUGUCGUGCUAGAGUGCGGAAGGGGCUACUGGAAUUCUCGGUGUAGCGGUGAAAUGCGUAGAUAUCGAGAGGAACACCUGCGGCGAGGGCGGGUAGCUGGGCCGACACUGACGCUGAUGCGCGAAAGCCAGGGGAGCGAACGGG
rnacentral:rRNA from 1 species